AUAGCGUAUAUUAAAGUUGUUGCAGUUAAAAAGCUCGUAGUUGAACUUCUGUACGUGCCCGGUUCUGGCUUCGGUCAAGCUGUGGUGCGUGCAUCCGCUUGCAAACCUGGCCCGGCCUUUACUGGUCGACCAGGGGAGUAGGCCUUUUACUUUGAAAAAAUUAGAGUGUUUCAAGCAGGCAAUGGCUCGAAUACAUUAGCAUGGAAUAAUGGAAUAGGACUUUUGUCCAUUUGGUUGGUUAUUGGACAUGAGUAAUGAUUAAAAGGGACAGUUGGGGGCAUUAGUAUUUAAUUGUCAGAGGUGAAAUUCUUGGAUUUAUUAAAGACUAACCUAUG
rnacentral:rRNA from 1 species